rnacentral:rRNA from 1 species
UACGGAGGGGGCUAGCGUUGUUCGGAAUUACUGGGCGUAAAGCGCGCGUAGGCGGCUUUGUAAGUUAGAGGUGAAAGCCCGGAGCUCAACUCCGGAAUUGCCUUUAAGACUGCAUCGCUAGAAUCAUGGAGAGGUGAGUGGAAUUCCGAGUGUAGAGGUGAAAUUCGUAGAUAUUCGGAAAGAACACCAGUGGCGAAGGCGAACUCACUGACA